AUUGAACGCUGGCGGCAGGCCUAACACAUGCAAGUCGAGCGAGCGGCGGACGGGUGAGUAAUGUAUGGGGACUGCCCGAUAGAGGGGGAUAACUACUGGAAACGGUGGCUAAUACCGCAUACUAUCGGAUAACCCAUAUGGGAUUAGCUAGUAGGUGGGGUAAAGGCUCACCUAGGCGACGAUCCCUAGCUGGUCUGAGAGGAUGACCAGCCACACGAGGACUAAGACACGAACCAGACUCCUACGGAGGCAGCAGUAGGGAAUAUUGGACAAGGGGGGCAAGCCUGAUGCAGCCAUGCCGCGUGUAUGAAGAAGGCCUUAGGGUUGUAAAAUACUUUCAGCGGGGAGGCGGUACCAGCAGAAGAAGCACCGGCUAACUCCGUGCCAGCAGCCGCGGUAAUAC
rnacentral:rRNA from 1 species